UCCAUUUUAAUGGUGCGCAGCAGAGUUACUUUAAUCGUUUAGUUAAUAUAAUAAAGUCAGGUAUUCAAUGGGUUCCGUUAGCCGAAAGUGGAUGACGAAAUGUUUUGUGCCAAUAAAAAUUCUGCAAAGUAACCCUUUGCACACAGCUAUAAAAGGAGCGUUGGCCAAGGAUUCAGAGGACCCCGACAAAGGUUUAAGAACGGCGAUGACUAAC